rnacentral:lncRNA from 1 species
CUGAUCUGUACCUGCACCUGUGCGCACGACUAGAGAAGGGAUGUUUUCGUAUCCCUUCUUAAAUCAAAAAAAUCCACAAAAAUCCACAUGGAUAGGAGACUCAUUUUGUCACGCCCCCGACCCGAGAUUGUGAAUCGAGGGUCGCGGCAACCACCGCAUACUCAUGAAGAACUCUCUCCAUAAGCAUGCAAGGCAUCUCAUCACGAUAUCAAUGCAUCACAGC